GACGAACGCUGGCGGCGUGCCUAAUACAUGCAAGUAGGACGCAGUUGCGAACGGGUGAGUAACGCGUAGGUAACUACCUAUUAGAGGGGGAUAACUAUUGGAAACGAUAGCUAAUACCGCAUACUAGUAGAUGGACCUGCGUUGUAUUCGCUAGUAGGUAGGGGAAUGGCCUACCUAGGCAACGAUACAUAGCCGACCUGAGGUGGUUGUCGGGCACACUGGGACUGAGACACGGCCCAGAAUUCUACGGGAGGGAGGAGUAGGGAAUCAUCGGAAAUGGGGGGAACCCUGACCGAGCAACGCCGGGUGAGUGAAGAAUGGUUUCAGAACUUAAAACUCUGUUGUUAAGGAAGCGGUACUUAACCAGAAAGGGACGGCUAACUACGUGCCAGCAGCCGCGGUAAUAC
rnacentral:rRNA from 1 species